rnacentral:guide_RNA from 1 species
GCAUAUAAAUAGAUCUGUAUACAAGUGAUAGUGAUAAUUAAGAUAAUAUAU